UCUCCCCACCAUCUUCCUCCCUCUCCCCACCAUUUUCCUCCCUUUCCCCCCAUCUUCCUCCCUCUCCCCACCACCUUCAAGGAUCCCAGGCCAACCAGCUGUAGGCUGGUAACAACAUUUUCAUCCUUUAUCUAACCUGCCUUCUCUCCAAAGUGAUACAUGUGCCCCUGAGCUCGAGGCUUCAGAGGAUUUAGAGCUGGGUAGGCGAGACCCUGUGACUUGUCUGAGGUUGUACAAUUGGAAUUGGCCCAACUCUGAUCCAGUGGUCCUUACACAGCCCAGGGCCAUUUUUAGUGGCCACAAAUUUCUCUAGCCCCUCAGGAAGACCUUGUCAGAGCUCUGCUGGGUCUUUGCCCAGUGGCUGAAGGUGUCUUGUGUUCCAGUGGGGGGUUAGGCUUGAAAUUACACCUGCUUUAUUGUGGGGUGGGGGGCUUGAGGUGGUGGCUGAUGUGGGUACCUGGGGGAAAUAGAAGCAGGCAGAGAUUCCUCUCCCCAGCAUGGUCAGUCCCAGCCCUUUGGAAAGUAUUGUUUAUUUCUGUCAGGUUUGGUGGUGGAUUUCUUCAUGUUUUGUUUUAUUUUGUUUUUAAAGAAAGAAAAAAUUCGUUUUUGUGCCUUGUUAAAGAAAAAAUAAUAUAAAAAGCAUAUUCCUUUCCUUCUGGCCCUGGGUGCCUGCAUGUGUGUGUAUUUUUUUUCCCUUUCUUUCUGGGUUCCUGCGAUCUUGGUCCCCUCUCCCUGGAAUAAUGGCUCUUGUACCAGGGCUGCUUUGACAGGCUGGAAGGUUGGAUAUUUAGCAAAAUGCCUGGUAUGCAGUAGGAGCUUAAUAAAUGCUUAUUGCUUGACUGGGCCAAAACCCGGCAAGAAGAGAAAGAAUGUUAGGUGCCUUCCACUUGGCUUCAGAAACUCCAGACUGAAAGAGAUACAAGGUUGGGGAAGGGGUCAGAAAGUGGAGAAAAAGGUCUCUGGAUUCUUGACUGAGCACAAAUGUAGGAUGAGUUAGCAGCAGGAUAUAGAAACACAAAGAGCCGGUGGGAUUUAACAGCAGCCUGGAGUCCAGAGUGAGGGUUCUCCUACUCACCCGUGGACAGUGAUGAGGGAGGGACAGAAGCCUGGGCACUGCCCUGCUGCUAUUACCACCCAUCUCUCUGCAGCCCAGUGGGUGUCUUCCUAGCACCGAGGGACGGAUUCAUGGUGUCCUAGAAGAGACCUUGCAACAUGCAGCCUUGUGAUACCAGUGCUUCAAGGCCCCUUAGCACACAGACUGUCAGAGCUAGACAGGGCCUUGGAGACCACCAGGUUCAGCCCUCUCCUUUCACAAAUGAGGAAGCUGGGACUGCAGACCACACAGCCGGGUUACAUCGAGAGAACGAGGCAGAUGUCAUUUAACCACCAGGUGGUGCUGCUGGCCACUCACCUGAUCCAAGUCCCAAUAAGAAUCAGCUCUCUCUGAACUGGCUGGGCUGCAGAGCACUUCAGUUUCUCUUCUUGGUGGAGCCUUGGAGUGUGGUCAAGGGCAGGCCAACCAUGAAGCCUCAGAUGUCAUCUUACCUUCUCUAUCCCUCUGACCUCGAACUUCCCUAUCCUUCUGUGUUCCAAUUCUGCCUGGCUGAGAACAACAGUACGUCACUGACCUUUCAGCAUCUUCCAAUCAGCCGAUGAACUUGACCUCUUCCUCCUCCCCCACCCUAGCCCCUAGGGUCACAGCAAGAGUUACAGCUGCACAUCUUGAAAACCAUUAGCUAGAACCUCUCAUGCUGCCCUUAUGGAGAAGAUGAAAGGAUCAGGGCCAAAUCCUCAUCUAGAUAGAUAGAAGCCAGAUUGGUUGGCUGGCCAGAGCUACGGAGCAGUUGCCAAAGAUUGGAGGUCAUCUUGGAAGGAGAGGACCACUGCCGAGCCCCAGGGAUCUGGGCUGUUUGAUAUCUUUUUUUAAUCAAAGGUUUGGAUAAGCAAGGAGGGUUUGCUAAUAUAUUCAAUGACAGCAUCAGAAUCCAAAAAGAUCUUGUCAAAAUUGAGUUAAAUUUUAAAAAGGCAAAAUAAAAUAGUUG